rnacentral:rRNA from 1 species
UGCCAGCCGCCGCGGUAAUACGGAGGAUCCAAGCGUUAUCCGGAAUCAUUGGGUUUAAAGGGUCCGCAGGCGGUCAAUUAAGUCAGAGGUGAAAUCCCAUCGCUCAACGAUGGAACUGCCAUUGAUACUGGUUAGCUUGAGUUUGGUUGAGGUAAGCGGAAUGGAUAGGGUAGCGGUGAAAUGCAUAGAUAUUAUCCAGAACACCGAUUGCGAAGGCAGUCUACUACGUAUAUACUGACGCUGAGGGACGAAAGCGUGGGGAGCGAACAGGAUUAGAUA